AUUGAACGCUGGCGGCAGGCCUAACACAUGCAAGUCGAACGAGUGGCGGACGGGCGAGCAAUGUCUGGGAAACUGCCUGAUGGAGGGGGAUAACUACUGGAAACGGUAGCUAAUACCGCAUACCAUCGGAUGUGCCCAGAUGGGAUUAGCGAGUAGGUGGGGUAAUGGCUCACCUAGGCGACGAUCCCUAGCUGGUCUGAGAGGAUGACCAGCCACACUGGAACUGAGACACGGUCCAGACUCCUACGGGAGGCAGCAGUGGGGAAGAUUGGACAAUGGGCGCAAGCCUGAUGCAGCCAUGCCGCGUGUGUGAAGAAGGCCUUCGGAUUGUAAAGUACUUUCAGCGGGGAGGCGUUACUCACAGAAGAAGCACCGGCUAACUCCGUGCCAGCAGCCGCGGUAAUUC
rnacentral:rRNA from 1 species